UACGUAGGGGGCAAGCGUUGUCCGGAGUACUGGGCGUAAAGCGCACGCAGGCGGUCUGUUAAGUUUGGAGUGACAGUUGGUGGCUUAACCGACGAAGUGUUCUGGAACUGUCUGACUUGAGGGCUUCAGAGGGACACGGAAUUCCGGGUGGAGUGGUGAAAUGCGUAGAUAUCCGGAGGAACACCAAUGGCGAAGGCAGUGUCCUGGGAAGUACCUGACGCUCGAGGUGACGAA
rnacentral:rRNA from 1 species